AUCUCCGCCAAUGGCGGCCGCAGCCUCGCGGCCCCGGCGAUGGCGCCGGCGGAGCCGUGGGGCUCCGUGCGGGGAAAGUGGUGCUCCGCCGCCGCGCGUCCCCGCUGCCCCGUGCCUUGGGGACGCCGGGCGCUCAGGGGAAGGCGGCGCGGGGGCCCGUCCGUCCCUCGUCGGCACCGAGCCGUCCUCCGGAGUCGCCGUUCGGACGGAAGCCGGUUGGGAACGCCGUCGUUUCUCUGUCGCUCUGUGCGUUCGUCGAUUAAACGUUUCCCGUUCGUUUUUCGGCUCUUCUGCCCGCGGUCGUUUCUGUAGCUCCGGCUGCAGCUGCAAAAUGAAUCACCAGGCAUGUUAGCAGGGAAACACGGUAAUGGAAUUUGCUCCUGAAGAGGAUGCUGACAGUAGACCUUGGUUGCCUCACUCAGGAUUUGUCUGAGCUGAUCUCUGCAAUUCUGUCAGGUGAAACGUAUUGGGUAUUCAAGGAGCCUUCCUUAGCCUCUCUGUGGAACCAAUUUACUUCUCUAGCAUCGUCUUGGAGAGUUUAUAUCAUGGGAAUCAUCUAUCCAGAGCCGUAUACCAGAGGAUGGCAGAGAUAGAAGAUCUACCACCUCUUUAUACACUCAACAGACCUUUACUUAGUGGCAAGUACCUAAUGGAGAGAGCCGUACCGGUAACUAAGUCUGUUCCAGUACCAUUGUGAUUUUGCAGUUUUUCAAAACGUUGAAAAUAUGUCUUGUGAGUAAAUUGGUUUCUGGUUACAAAGCAGAAGAUACAGUGUAAACCUUGCAGGGAUACACAGACAGAGAUACCAUAGCAAGAACCCAUGGUGAGUUAAAAGAUGCCAAAAAAGCCAGGGUAUGAACUGAAGGCACUUUCACCUAAUUGCCAUCUGGAGUGUACCCUAGCAACAGGUAUUAGCAAUGCAGAAGCACGCCAACCAGGGAAAGAACCAAAUUUCAGUGUAAAUUGGACAGUGGGAGACAGUGGUCUUGAAGUUAUUAAUGCUACAACUGGAAAAGAUGAAAUGGGGCUUGCAUCUCGCCUCUGUAAGCAUGCUUUGUACAGCCACUGGAUGCAUGUUCAUGCAAAGCUUUCAUCCAGCUUGCGCUUGAAGAUCUUCAAGCCUAACCUGUACCAUGAAACCAAGCAAGGAGCCACUGAGUAUCAAACUGCCAAAGAGUGUUUAUUUAAAGCAUUCCUGAAGGCAGGACUUGGAACAUGGGUGGAGAAACCCAUAGAACAGGAUCAGUUUUCACUCACAGUCUAAUUCACAGUCUGCACGUCAGUUUGGAAGGGGAGUCGCUUUGGAAAUCCUGGUGUCCAGCAUUGCUUUCUGGCAUCUCCAUACCUGUUAAAACAUCUUUUUACUGUUUUUUCUUUUUCAAAACUUGGUAGUAACUGUUUUGGUUUUGCCUAAGUAUUGAAACUCAAUGAUAAUCUGGCACAUAAUUGUGUAUUUUGUUAUGAGAAAGUAAUUUCUGGUGUAUUUCUAGAAAUACUUUUACUGUAGAAAAUCUGCAGUAAGGCCGUCUGUCCUUACAGUAUACAAUGACUCAUUUUUUCUGGGUUAAAAUAAUUGCUUUUUUAAUUUGAUGUCAUCAAGUGCAUGAAGAAAUAAAUAUUUAUUCAGAUUUUACACCACACUUGUAAGAAGUAGCUUAAUUUUGUAAGAGGAAAAUAGGCAACAAAGAUGAUUCUUCUCCUCUUUUAAGUUGUUUUUGAAUUGCAGAUGUUGCUAGCAUCAUCUACAUCAUCAUACAUGCUAGAUGUUGCUAGCAUGUAGCUAGACCACUGGGCCAGGAUGAAGUCUGGACAAGUAGUUUUCCCCACUUCCUUGCUCUUUAAAACCAGCUGCUGAGAAAUUCAUGUCUUUGAUGUAUGUAUUUAUUAGUCUAUGAUCCCAUUUUUAACAUGCAGCUUUCUAUUCUGGUUUUAAAAAUACAUUUACCUCCCAUUUACACACAUUGUGAAGUCUUUUUUUUUUUU